rnacentral:rRNA from 1 species
CUUACGGGAGGCAGCAGUAAGGAAUAUUGGUCAAUGGAGGCAACUCUGAACCAGCCAUGCCGCGUGCAGGAAGACAGCCCUAUGGGUCGUAAACUGCUUUUAUACGGGAAUAAACUUUGAUUCGUGAAUCAAGCUGAAUGUACCGUAAGAAUAAGGAUCGGCUAACUCCGUGCCAGCAGCCGCGGUAAUACGGAGGAUCCAAGCGUUAUCCGGAUUUAUUGGGUUUAAAGGGAGCGUAGGCGGCCUAUUAAGUCAGGGGUGAAAGACGGUGGCUCAACCAUCGCAGUGCCUUUGAUACUGAUGGGCUUGAAUAUAGUUGAGGUAGGCGGAAUGUGACGAGUAGCGGUGAAAUGCAUAGAUAUGUCACAGAACACCGAUUGCGAAGGCAGCUUACUAAGCUAUGAUUGACGCUGAGGCUCGAAAGCGUGGGGAUCAAACAGGAUUAGAUACCCUGGUAGUCCACGCCCUAAACGAUGAUAACUCGAUGUUGGCGAUAUACAGUCAGCGCACGACGAGAGUUAGUUAUCACCGNGGAGACGCCGCGAGGUAGAACGUAAGUAGAGUAGAGNGNGAGAGNGCGACGGACGACGACGAGGGAGGAGG